AGCUCCAAUAGCGUAUAUUAAAGUUGUUGCGGUUAAAAGCUCGUAGUUGGAUUUCUGUUGAGGUCGACCGGUGUACGCUUCGCGUAUUAUUUGGUUCGGUCUUGGCAUCCUCUUGAAGACGUCUUCCUUCAUUGGAGGACGGGUUCAAGACUUUUACUUUGAGGAAAUUAGAGUGUUCACGGCAGGCAAGUGCUUUGAAUACAUUAGCAUGGAAUAAUAAUAUAGGACCUUCUGUUCUAUUUUGUUGGUUUCUAGAACGUGGGUAAUGAUUAAUAGGGACAAUUGGGGGCAUUCGUAUUAACGCGUCAGAGGUGGAAUUCUUGGAUUGCGUUACGACGAACUACUGCGAAAGCAUUUGCCAAAGAUGUUUUCA
rnacentral:rRNA from 1 species